UUGCUUUGAAUCAAAUCCUUACUUCAUACCAGGAUGUACCAUGAUUCUUGGAAACAUGACUGGGUAUUGAUGUCUUGUCUAGCCAAUGAAAUCCACAUAGCAAAGAUGUUAUGAAGACAUGGAAACAUGAAUAUGAAAUAAAAUCAGUAUAGCUAUUUGGAUGAUUAGCUAUCGACACAAGACAGUCCCUGGUUAUUGCUUUUAAUAGUAAGGUAGCACUAGGCCAUGAAAGGUGCCUCAGUGUACCUGCCUCAUUUGUGGCUCCCUUUUGGCCAUGUGACCCUAACUCCCCUGGUCACAAGUGGCUGAACCAGCAAUCAAUACCUGACCUGAAGGCAACCCUCUAUAGGCUGGCAAGCGGCCUACAAAGUUGCUCAGUGCUAGAGAAUUGAGCCCAACAGAAGUACAUUCUAAUGUUUAGUGAUUGGCCAAUCAUAUUCUUUGUGAUGGUGCUGAUGGGAGGGUAGUGAUGUGCAUCAGACAUGCAGAGUUAGUAGCAGCUGGAGCAGACACAGAAGCCUCCCUAACAACGGGCAAUGGAGAAAGGAACAACAGACAGUUCUGAAAGAAUACCAAGUGCUCCUAAGCCAAAAGCUAUAGUUAGGCUGCUGGAGGUACUGCCAGUCCUAAAUGAUGGCGAUGAUGGUCCAUUUUUCUGUGAAACUUGACUGUAUACCUGUUAAGAUUUUUUUGUGUUCUUUUUAAGGCUCCAUGAAUGAAUCUUUCCAAUAAACAAAUUUGUA
rnacentral:lncRNA from 1 species